rnacentral:rRNA from 1 species
GACGAACGCUGGCGGCGUGCUUAACACAUGCAAGUCGAACGAAGGGGCGAACGGGUGAGUAACGCGUAAUCACCCUGCCCUUCCGGGGGGUACAACAGUUGGAAAAGACUUCUAAUACCACAUACUGAGGUAGGUGAGCGCGUCUGAUUUGCUAGUUGGGGGGGAAACGGCCCACCAAGGCGAUGAUCAGUAGCCGGUCUGAGAGGAUGAACGGCCACAUUGGGACUGAGACACGGCCCAGACUCCUACGGGAGGCAGCAGUAGGGAAUCUUCGGCAAUGGGGGGAAGCCUGACCGGGCAACGCCGCGUGAGUGAUGACGGCUUUCGGGUUGUAAAGCUCUGUUGUUCGAGACGCGGUACCGGACUAGAAAGCCACGGCUAACUACGUGCCAGCAGCCGCGGUAAUAC